UGUAUUUUAUAUAUCCAAAAAAGAAUCAAUUCAUCAUUUUCCGAUAACUAGAUCUAUGUCCGACUCCCUUCUAAUGAAAAUGAGCAAAAGUAAAACGAGUCUCUCGUCGCGCGCUAUAACGGGGUGUUUGCAGUAUUGUCCUCGCUGGUGAUGAUAAGCUAGUGAGUAGUCGAUAGUCAAAAGUUAAAUAUCACCAUAUAUUGUCAGUGAGUUGGUCAUCGUUUGUUGAUUAUUAAGCAAGGGGGAAAAUGUUACACGACCAUUCCAGGAGAUAAAAUCAAGAAUGUUGAAUCAUUGAGGAACACACCAAAUAAACCCUGGGCUGUGAAUUAUGUUAACGGAAGUGGAAGUGAACACCAAAGAAAGAAGAUUCUGGCAUUUAAUAAUUUCAAAAAGUGUAUACAUUUUCAAUUAUCUAAAAGUAU